UGCACAUAGACCAAGGUGAGCGGCACAGGCUCUUGAGAGCCUUUAGUUAUGUUAACCAGUCGUACUCAUUUAAAUAUUACACCUAAUUGUAUGUCUGGUUUACGCUUCAGUUACGCCUGGUUGACGCAUGGACAUGCAUUUGUAAACACUGCAAUGCGGCCAGGAUAAAGUAUGAUUUUCACGCCUGGUUUCCGUGUCACAUACGGGCGUCACAGAUUGUAUAGGAUGCUAGUACCCAAUAUAUGUGCAUUGUAAUGUCAAAAACAGCCCAUAUUUAUGUAGCAGAAACAUUUUGCUGUCCAAUAGAUAUCUAAAAUUUUAUAUUUUAACAAUUUUGUAAAACUGCUAUAUUUUGGGACCAAAAAGGGGUCUUACUGGACCUACUCCUUUUGUUUGCCUAAAAGAAAGUUUGGACAAUUCAAGACAGCCACCAACAUAGUGCUAAGUCAGAGUAAUGUAGAUUACUUGGUGCUUAUAUACAAAAAACUGUUAUUUCAUUAAAAAAAAAGAGAGAAAUGAUAUUUUAAUUCGUUAUUUUUGCGCUCUUGAGAUUUUUAUUUAUUCCCUGAUCACACCAAAGCAAUUAGUACAUUGUAUCAAUUUGUAUAAAAAUUAUCUAUAUGUAAAAUUAUUGCCAUUUGAAUGUUCC
rnacentral:lncRNA from 1 species